CCGAGCCCUUUCCAGGACGGCUCGAAGCCUUUGUCCCUCUCCAGGGCUGCCCCUGGAACAGACCCAGCGCUGUUGGGUUCCAGCUGCAGCAGCCUGUGCGAGGGCAGGCGGUGCCUGCUGCCUCCGGCCCGGCUGUGCCGUGGGGAGGGAGGAGGGAGGCCGGGGCUGUGAGGGCUCUGGAACACCCAGGAGUGAUGACAGAUCCUUCUGGGGCAAAGAUUGGCAUGAAACACUGACUGCUCAGGGAAAAAAAAAUAAUAAAAAAAAAGCUGUGAAAAUGUAAAAGGAAAAAGAUGAGUUCCAGUUUGCUACAAGGGCUGAAUGAGGGGAACCACCUCCCUUGAUGGAUCUCGGAGAUGAUUCCUAUUGCAGACGUGGAAAAUUCCUUAUCAGCACAGGGGAUCCGCCUCCUGCCCCGCUCCACUUCUCCAGCUGGAAUGGUUUCCCCGCGGCCCUGGAGCAGCACAAACACCGCUGGAACGGUCCGGUCCCCGGGGAAUGGCUCGUCCGGGCCGAAGCAGCCCUUUCCACGAAAAGCCUUGGCUGGAGCCGUGUUUGCCAUCCGUGCCCGUCUCCUCCAUCCAGGCUGGGAGCGCUGGGAUGGAGCAGGAAAGGAGCCCCCGUGACACUCAACCUGCUCACCCGUUCCAAAAUAUUACACACGGACAGGAGCUUGCGCCUCCAGGGAUUCCCUGGGAUUAAAAAGCACCCAGGCACUGGACACCGGGCUUUUUCCCUAAUUUCCCAAUUUCCCAGAGUCCCUUCCUGGGUACAAGGGACGCCCCCAGCCCUAGAGCCGAUUGGGGCUCCAGUUUCACAUCCAUAAAUAAAUGCCAAAGUGAGCUCCGGUGGCUGAAGGGUUCCCCCCUAGCCCAGCCCGUGCAGUCUCCAGACACAAAUAAAUCCAUGGAGACAAAGGGAGCA
rnacentral:lncRNA from 1 species